AUGUGGGCUUGCACUGAUCAUUUCUCCGUCACUCCAAGGUUUCUUCAUGGUAAGAAUGAAGAACAUUAUUUAGGAGACACUGCAGAGAUGAAGUGUUCUCUAAUCUUCGUGACUGUGGUACUCUUAAUGCUUGGACAGACCCAUGGAGACUCAGUGACCCAGACGGAAGGCCAAGUGACCCUCUCAGAGGAAGCUUCCUUGACUAUGAACUGUACUUACUCAACAACUGGGUAUCCCACUCUUUUCUGGUAUGUCCAGUAUCCAGGAGAAGGUCCACAGCUCCUCCUGAAAGCCUCGAGGGACAUGGAGAAGGGAAUCAACAAAGGUUUUGAAGCCACCUAUGACAAAGAUUCCAAAUCCUUCCACCUGGAGAAAGGCUCAUUGCAAGCAUCAGAUUCAGCUGUGUACUACUGUGUCCUGAGUGACACAGUGACGGGGACUGCAGGGGGAGCUGAGCACAAACCCUAA